rnacentral:lncRNA from 10 species
CUGCCGGUCACCUGGUUCCAGCUUACUCAGCUGCUAAAAACAUUUGCAUCUUACAACUGCUUAUCAGUGAGAGCCUCAGAUGAAGCCACUUACGUCGAACAGUGGUUCUCAGCGCAUGGUCCUCAGACCAACAUCAAGGUCCUCUCCUGGAAAUUUGUCAACAAAUUCUUUUGCUCCCUUGUAGACAAACUAAAUCAGAAAUCCUGGGGGUGGAGCUUAGCAAUUUGUGGUUUAAUUAUCCCUCCAAGUUAGUCUGAUACAUGCCUAAUUUUGAGAAACUCUGAUAGAGAAGAAAUAAUGCUUGUCUUAAGAUGAAAUAGACCAUGAUUCUAGACAACUCUUGUUAACAGGGUGGCUUUGGAUCAGAUACUUCAUAUUAGUUGCUCUGUCUUUUAAAACUUAAGAGUAGCUACCUUACAG